GCGGGCAUGGUGUAACAGACUAACACGGGAGGCUUCCACCCUCCAGACCCGAGUUUGAGUCUCGGUGCUCGCUCCA
rnacentral:tRNA from 1 species